AUGGAGGAGUACGCGGCGGGCAAGCAGAGGAGGCUGGUGCACCCCCGCAGCGUCAGCGAUGCGCUCGGCCCUUCCUCCUUCCACCUGGAGGAUCUCCUCGAGGAAAUUCAACUUGUAUUGUCACUGCUGCCACUAAAAGAGGCUGCAAGGAUAAGCAUUCUUUCGAGAAACUGGGGAAUGCUCUGUACACGUUUCCCUAACCUUUGCUUUGAUGGCGCCAACGACCGGUCCACUAAUGAUGAUAGUAUCAAAAUAGAAAGCACAGUGUUCAUCGAGACAGUAAAUUCUAUUAUCCAGCAGCACAGUGGAAUAGGGCUCAAUAAGUUCAGCAUAGGUGCAGCCUUCGGGACAACUCCUCAGAUCAUAUUGAUAGGUGGAUUCGUUUGCAACUGCAUCAAAGGCUAAGAUUAUUGAUAUGAACCUGUGGCCGAAGAGGAAUAAUGUAGGACCAAACAGAAAUAUUUAUCGCUUCCCUCUUGAGGCUUUAGAUGCUCAAGAUGGCCCUUUUAUCCAAUCCUUGUUUCUCACCAAUGUUUCUAUUGAGCCACACUUGGUUAUUUGUGGCUUUAUGAGACUCAAGAAGCUUCAUUUGCACCGUGUUCAUAUAAUUGGAGAUCUUCCAGGCUUGCUAUUAAAUUGUUCUAGUCUUGAGGACUUGGAGCUCAUCGCCUGCUCGGGUGUAACUGAUCUGAAUAUACCACACCAACUUGAUAAACUUAGACAUUUGCUAAUUCGUUCCAAUAUAUGUGUCCAGAUGGUUGAGUUUCGUGUUCCUGAUCUUUCUCAUUUCGAGUACCAAGGUGAUGUAAUUCCUAUAGUGCUUCAUGGUCGCUCAACACUAGAGGAGGUAACCCUCAAGUUUCACAAUGCAUUAUUUGACCGAGACAAUAAUAGAGCAUUGAGUCAUGCCAUCACUGGAAUUCCCAGUAUUUCCACAGCGAAGGUGCUAAACGUGCAUACACAAAUGAUGGAAGAUCGACCAGUCUGGUCCUCACAGGUGCACAAGUUGACAAGAUCGGCAUGCAUGUUUUUGAAUUUGAGGCAUCUGACUUGUAGAAUAACUAUUUUCACCAGGGGUUCAAAUAACCACGCUAGACUUCUGCUGGCUCACUAUCUAGAUUCUGCACCCCGAUUGGAGACACUGCAAUUGCAUAUGUCUUAUGUUGUGGCGGGUGGUAGCCACUGCUGGCAUGGUGAGCAAGCCUCCUUCCAUAUGUACCGCCUUGAUCGCCUGCAUGAGUGGGUUCCAUUUAGGGGUGGUAAUGGAUCAUGGACCUCGUGCCUCCUUCACGUUAAUCCAACUCAGUUCUAUCUAUUUUUAGUUCAAAAUCAUAUAAUAUUAUGAUCUGACCCUUAUUGAACCCGAUUCUUAAAUUUGUUAGGCUAAAUUAGAGGACCCUUUACCACACCUGGUUCCAUUGCUAUCGGCCUCAGGUUGAGCUGCUGUGUGGCAUUCUGGAAAAUGGCACUGCGCUUGAGAAUGUGACCAUCCAACCAUUGGUGACGCUAUACGGCAAGAACUCAUUGAACAUAUACAUACCUGAGUACAAGAUUCGUGAUUGGGUUCGUCGUGUAUCGCAACGUUAUGGUAGAGUGAUCACUGUUGUAGAGGCCCCUCGACAGUGUUUGGGUUAUGUUUAUUAGCAAUGUAUUGCUCUGAACUGUAUGCUUUGUUUGUAUGGGAGUAAAUUUAUGUCCGCGUUAAGAUUAUGGCAACGUUGGAACUGGUUCUCUGAUCUCAUCUCGAAAACAAGUUGGUUGUGUAUAUUGUUGAGAAAUUUGAUUUUGUUUCCCAAUAGAUGCUAUGUAUUAAA